ACGGGUGAGGAAUACGUAGGAAUCUACCCUUAAGUGGGGGACAACUCCGCGAAAGCGGAGCUAAUACCGCAUAAUCUUAAUGUCUUCGGAUGUUAAGCAAAGGUGUCUCGCCGCAAGGCGGAUUUCGCUUUUGGAUGAGCCUACGUCGGAUUAGCUAGUUGGUAGGGUAAUGGCCUACCAAGGCAACAAUCCGUAGCUGGUUUGAGAGAACGACCAGCCACACUGGGACUGAGACACGGCCCAGACUCCUACGGGAGGCAGCAGUGGGGAAUAUUGGACAAUGGGGGAAACCCUGAUCCAGCAAUGCCGCGUGUGCGAUGAAGGCCUGAGGGUUGUAAAGCACUUUCGUUGGGGAGGAAAUACUUAAAGAUAAUACCUUUAAGAGUUGACUUAACCCAAAUAAGAAGCACCGGCUAACUCUGUGCCAGCAGCCGCGGUAAUACAGAGGGUGCAAGCGUUAAUCGGAGUUAUUGGGCGUAAAGCGUGCGUAGGCGGAAAUUUAAGUCGGUUGUGAAAUCCUUGGGCUUAACCUGAGAAUGGCAAUCGAUACUGGAUUUCUAGAGUAUUGGAGAGGAAAGUGGAA
rnacentral:rRNA from 1 species